GGGCCGUUAGCUUAGUUGGUAGAGCGCCGCGUUUGCAACGCGGAGGUCAUCGGUUCGAAUCCGAUACGGUCCACCC
rnacentral:tRNA from 1 species